CCCUUAGACGUUCUGGGCCGCACGCGCGCUACACUGACACAGGCAACGAGCUUUCCUUUACCGAAAGGUAUGGGUAAUCUUUUGAAACUGUGUCGUGCUGGGGAUAGAUCCUUGCAAUUUUUGAUCUUAAACGAGGAAUUCCUAGUAAGCGCGAGUCGUCAACUCGCGUUGAUUACGUCCCUGCCCUUUGUACACACCGCCCGUCGCUACUACCGAUUGAAUGGCUUAGUGAGGCCUCAGGAUCCGCGCUUAAUGUGUGGAGAAUUUGGACAAACUACGUCAUUUAGAGGAAGUAAAAGUCGUAACA
rnacentral:rRNA from 1 species